rnacentral:lncRNA from 1 species
ACUGUGGCAAGCAGCUUGAGGUGGCCGACAAUUAGUAAAACCAUUAUGGCACCGUACCUAGGACUGGGCUCUGACGAAAAUUUCGAAAAGAAGAAAUCUUUUUCAAAAAGGCUCCAGUACCAGCAUGCCAAACGUCAAAAUAUCUGGCAACCAUCGGGUACGGAAAUUGAGGAAAGUAGCUUCGAUCGGGAGAAUUUCUCUAUACUUCCUUAAUUCAGAACCCAAACUCGAAAGUAGGGAGACUGGUGUUGGGUAUAAAAUACCCCCCGGUCGAAGUUUGUAAA